GCUACUUAGACACACACAUACUUACAGAUACACACUGACACUGACACACACACACACAUAGAUCCACACACAUGUUCACAGAUGCACAGACACUCACAGAUACACUGACAUUGGCACACAUACAUAGAUCCACACACAUACUCACAGAUACACAGACACUCACAUAUACACACUGACACUCACAGAUACACAGGCACACACACAUAG